GUAGGUGAACCUGCGGAAGGAUCAUUAACAAAUCGAGUAUAUGGCGAAAGCCAUAUAUAUUCACCCUAAGCCUGGGAAUUGUACUUUGGUACAUGACCGGCUUUGGUUGGGCCGCAUCCCUUGUGGGUGAGGCUCCGGCAGGUAUGCUUCGGUGUACUGGCCACAUAGACGCUUGUAUUGUUUGACAGAGUUAUAAUUGCUUAUAAAAAUGACAACUUUUAACAAUGGAUCUCUUGGCUCUUGCAUCGAU
rnacentral:misc_RNA from 1 species